GACGAACGCUGGCGGCGUGCUUAACACAUGCAAGUCGAACGAAGUGGCGAACGGGUGAGUAACGCGUACUCAACCUGCCCUUCAGAGGGGGACAACAGUUGGAAACGACUGCUAAUACCGCAUACUGAAGGAGGGGAUUGCGUCUGAUUAGCUAGUUGGAGGGGUAACGGCCCCACAAGGCGAUGAUCAGUAGACGGUCUGAGAGUAUGAAGGGCCAAAUUGGAAGUGAGAAACGGACCAGACUCCUACGGGAGGCAGAAGAGGGGAAUAGUCCGCAAUGGACGAAAGUCUGACGGAGAAACGCCGCGUGAGUGAUGACGGCCUUCGGGUUGUAAAGCUCUGUUAAUCGGGACGCGGUACCGGAAUAGAAAGCCACGGCUAACUACGUGCCAGCAGCCGCGGUAAUAC
rnacentral:rRNA from 1 species